AGGGCAGAAAAUAAUUCAAGGCCCAGCUAUUCUGUGACACUUAUUCCUUAGGGGUACAAACAAUGACUGCUGCCAAAGAUCAUUGUUGACUCUCCAGCACAAUUGAGUUCUUGUGAUAUCACAGACUGACAGGUGACAUGGUGGAUCCCCACCAGGACUCUGCCCUUACUAAUUUCCUCCUCUAGGUCAGAAAAUCUCCAACAUGAGCUGAAACAAUCCACAGCUCAGGACGAGAGCCUCCUGCCAACAGAGCUGCUGCAGCAGGAGCACCAAGUGUCAUAAACAACACCCUUUAUGAGAACUGAGAAGGCUGAAGGAAUCCAUAGGCAACCAGAACCCCUGACAUUCUCUACUCUAUGAUCAAGGCCUCCUCAGAACAAGACAUGUACUACUAGUUGUGAAAUCACCAGUGAGGCAAAUAUCAUCUGCCCUGCAGGUCGUCCAUCCAUAAUCUGAUCCAUGUGUCUGUUGACUCACUACUUAUGGAAUUAAGAAACCAUCGAGAAGAUACUUGAGAUUCAAAAAAAUUAACACCAAGAAUUAUGCGGAAAAAGCUGACAUCUACCAGCAAGUGUUCCCAGUGAGGGCCACAACAACAUGGACAAAGAGUAUGAUUCUGCUCAUAGUUACUCUGAAAGUUUAUUGCUACAAAUUUUUGUUAGCUGACUGAGUCUUCAGCCCUUCAUAUGUGGAGGGAGAUAUGUCAACAGAGACUGUGUUGAUGUCAUGCUGCUAUCCAGACAGACGACACAAAGGAAGUAUCAUAUUCUCACUCCAGUCCAGUGCUGGACCUACUCAAUGUCAUGCACAUGUGAUGGUGAAGUGAAUUGUUAUGAGAGAUGAUUUAGGAAGGAUGCCACCAUGAGCUUUUAUGUCUUUGGGCAGCAAAUGCUCCCCAUGUCCUUUUUUGCUCUUGAAUGGGCACAUAGACACAUGUUGGCUGACAGAAUCAUAUAGUGGCCAACAUAGCAUAAGAUCAACUUUGGCAACGGCCUAACCUAAGAGCCCCAAAGUGGCAUGACUACACUUGUCUUGAAGAGGGUAUUUCAAUUCAGGGUUGUCUUCCAACUUGUGUCCAAAGCCAGCCACAGGGUGUAGGACAGUGCACUAAAUCUGCACGAUGAGAAUGCUUCUUAGUGUAAAUAGUUUUGGUUUGUUUGGGGGUUUGCAUGAAUUUAGGUUUUGUUGUUCUUUGUUUUGUUUUGCUGUUUUUUAAUUUUUUGGUUCUUUGUUCUUUCUUUGAUUUUAUAUUUGGCUAAGGCUAUACACUGGAUAUACUAAGUGCCCUUUUAAGCCCCUAUUCAGUCAAAUUUCUGUAAUUUCACAAAUAAAAAAAGUAACUUCCAACUCUUCAUUCUUU